rnacentral:rRNA from 1 species
GAUGAACGCUGGCGGCGUGCCUAAUACAUGCAAGUCGAGCGAACAGACGAGGAGCUUGCUCCUCUGACGUUAGCGGCGGACGGGUGAGUAACACGUGGAUAACCUACCUAUAAGACUGGGAUAACUUCGGGAAACCGGAGCUAAUACCGGAUAACAUGUUGAACCGCAUGGUUCAACAGUGAAAGACGGUUUUGCUGUCACUUAUAGAUGGAUCCGCGUCGCAUUAGCUAGUUGGUAAGGUAACGGCUUACCAAGGCAACGAUGCGUAGCCGACCUGAGAGGGUGAUCGGCCACACUGGAACUGAGAAACGGGCCAGACUCCUACGGGAGGCAGCAGUAGGGAAUCUUCCGCAAUGGGCGAAAGCCUGACGGAGCAACGCCGCGUGAGUGAAGAAGGUCUUCGGAUCGUAAAACGCUGUUAUUAGGGAAGAACAAAUGUGUAAGUAACUAUGCACGUCUGGACGGUACCUAAUCAGAAAGCCACGGCUAACUACGU